AAAAAACAUGGAGUCAGCUCCGGCAGCCCCCGACCCCGCCGCCAGCGAGCCAGGCAGCAGCGGCGCGGACGCGGCCGCCGGCUCCAGGGAGACCCCGCUGAACCAGGAAUCCGCCCGCAAGAGCGAGCCGCCUGCCCCGGUGCGCAGACAGAGCUAUUCCAGCACCAGCAGAGGUAUCUCAGUAACGAAGAAGACACAUACAUGGCAGGCAUGGUACAGAGCGCUUCCUUGCACAGCCUUGCCCAUGAGCUCGUCCCUGGCCCGGAGGGACCCACUCUAGAGGUGGGACCAACAGAAAAUUGCAAACUCCUGAGUGGAAACCUUCACGAGGGCUCCGCAAAUUGGUGCUCUCUUCUCCUGGUUUCAUCCCGCA
rnacentral:ncRNA from 2 species